UACAGAGGUGGCAAGCGUUGUUCGGAAUUAUUGGGCGUAAAGAGCUCGUAGGCGGCUCGUCGCGUCGUCCGUGAAAACCCGCGGCUUAACCGCGGGCUUGCGGUUGAUACGGGCGGGCUAGAGUUCGGUAGGGGAGACUGGAAUUCCUGGUGUAGCGGUGAAAUUCGUAGAUAUCAGGAGGAACACCAGUGGCGAAGGCGGCUUCCUGGACACUAACUGACGCUGAGACGCGAAAGCGUGGGGAGCAAACAGG
rnacentral:rRNA from 1 species